GAGUAACGCGUGGGAAUCUACCUUUUGCUACGGAAUAACGCAGGGAAACUUGUGCUAAUACCGUAUGUGUCCUUCGGGAGAAAGAUUUAUCGGCAAGAGAUGAGCCCGCGUUGGAUUAGCUAGUUGGUGGGGUAAAGGCCUACCAAGGCGACGAUCCUUAGCUGGUCUGAGAGGAUGAUCAGCCACAUUGGGACUGAGACACGGCCCAAACUCCUACGGGAGGCAGCAGUGGGGAAUAUUGAACAAUGGGCGCAAGCCUGAUCCAGCCAUGCCGCGUGAGUGAUGAAGGCCCUAAGGUUGUAAAGCUCUUUCACCGGAGAAGAUAAUGACGGUAUCCGGAUAAGAAGCCCCGGAUAACUUCGUGCCAGCAUCCGCGGUAAUACGAAGGGGGCUAGCGUUGUUCGAAAUUCCUGGGCGUAAAGCGCACGUAGGCGGAUCGAUCAGUCGGGGGUGAAAUCCCAGGGCUCAACCCUGGAACUGCCUUUGAUACUGUCGAUCUGGAGUAUGGAAGAUGUGAGUGGAAUUCCGAGUGUAGAGGUGAAAUUCAUAGAUAUUCGGAGGAACACCAGAG
rnacentral:rRNA from 1 species